rnacentral:rRNA from 1 species
AGAGUUUGAUCAUGGCUCAGAAUGAACGCUGGCGGCAGGCCUAACACAUGCAAGUCGAGCGGGGACUUCGGUCCUAGCGGCGGACGGGUGAGUAACGCGUGGGAACAUACCCUUUGGUACGGAAUAGCCUCGGGAAACUGAGAGUAAUACCGUAUGUGGUCGUAAGACGAAAGAUUUAUCGCCAAAGGAUUGGCCCGCGUUGGAUUAGGUAGUUGGUGGGGUAAUGGCCUACCAAGCCGACGAUCCAUAGCUGGUUUGAGAGGAUGAUCAGCCACACUGGGGCUGAGACACGGCCCAGACUCCUACGGGAGGCAGCAGUGGGGAAUCUUAGACAAUGGGCGCAAGCCUGAUCUAGCCAUGCCGCGUGAUCGAUGAAGGCCUUAGGGUUGUAAAGAUCUUUCAGUGGGGAAGAUAAUGACGUACCCACAGAAGAG